rnacentral:rRNA from 1 species
CCCUUAGAUGUCCUGGGCCGCACGCGCGCUACGCUGACAUGUUCAACAAGCCUCCUAGUUCGACAGGAUUUGGGAAAUCUUUGAACGCAUGUCGUUAUAGGGAUAGAUCAUUGCAAUUAUUGAUCUUGAACGAGGAAUUCCUAGUAAACGCGAGUCAUCAGCUCGCAUUGAUUACGUCCCUGCCCUUUGUACACACCGCCCGUCGCACCUACCGAUUGAAUGUUUCGGUGAAGAUUCCGGAUAGGACUUUUUUGAUUUAUUUCAAUUUUGUCUUAAAAGCUAUCUAAACCUCAACAUUUAGAGGAAGGUGAAGUCGUAACA